UACGGAGGGGGCUAGCGUUGUUCGGAAUUACUGGGCGUAAAGCGCACGUAGGCGGCUUUGUAAGUUAGAGGUGAAAGCCCGGGGCUCAACUCCGGAACUGCCUUUAAGACUGCAUCGCUUGAAUUGUGGAGAGGUAAGUGGAAUUCCGAGUGUAGAGGUGAAAUUCGUAGAUACUCGGAAGAACACCAGUGGCGAAGGCGACUUACUGGACACAUAUUGACGCUGAGGUGCGAAAGCGUGGGGAGCAAACAGG
rnacentral:rRNA from 1 species